CGUGAGGAACCUGCCUUGAAGAGGGGGGAAACAGUUGGAAACGACUGCUAAUAUCGCAUGACGCAUAGAGGUCGCAUGAUCUUUAUGCCAAAGAUUUAUCGCUUCAAGAUGGCCUCGCGUCUGAUUAGCUAGUUGGCGGGGUAACGGCCCACCAAGGCGACGAUCAGUAGCCGGACUGAGAGGUUGAACGGCCACAUUGGGACUGAGACACGGCCCAG
rnacentral:rRNA from 1 species